GAUGAACGCUAGCGGCAGGCUUAAUACAUGCAAGUCGAGGGGUAGCAAGAUUGUAGCAAUACAAUUGUUGACGACCGGCAAACGGGUGCGGAACACGUACACAACCUUCCUACAAGUGGGGAAUAGCCCAGAGAAAUUUGGAUUAAUACCCCGUAACAUAGCGAUGUGGCAUCACAUUGCUAUCAUAGCUUCGGCGCUUGUUGAUGGGUGUGCGGCUGAUUAGAUAGUUGGCGGGGUAACGGCCCACCAAGUCUACGAUCAGUAGCUGAUGUGAGAGCAUGAUCAGCCACACGGGCACUGAGACACGGGCCCGACUCCUACGGGAGGCAGCAGUAAGGAAUAUUGGACAAUGGACGCAAGUCUGAUCCAGCCAUGCCGCGUGAAGGAUUAAGGUCCUCUGGAUUGUAAACUUCUUUUAUAAGGGACGAAAAAAGGUCUUUCUAGAUCGUCUGACGGUACCUUAUGAAUAAGCACCGGCUAACUCCGUGCCAGCAGCCGCUGUAAUAC
rnacentral:rRNA from 1 species